rnacentral:rRNA from 1 species
GACGAACGCUGGCGGCGUGCUUAACACAUGCAAGUCGAGCGGUAAGGCCUUUCGGGGUACACGAGCGGCGAACGGGUGAGUAACACGUGGGCGACCUGCCCUCAGCUCUGGGAUAAGCCUGGGAAACUGGGUCUAAUACCGGAUAUGACCACAUGUCGCAUGGUGUGUGGUGGAAAGUUUUUCGGCUGGGGAUGGGCCCGCGGCCUAUCAGCUUGUUGGUGGGGUGAUGGCCUACCAAGGCGACGACGGGUAGCCGGCCUGAGAGGGCGACCGGCCACACUGGGACUGAGAUACGGCCCAGACUCCUACGGGAGGCAGCAGUGGGGAAUAUUGCGCAAUGGGCGAAAGCCUGACGCAGCGACGCCGCGUGGGGGAUGACGGCCUUCGGGUUGUAAACCUCUUUCGACCGGGACGAAGCGUAAGUGACGGUACCGGUAUAAGAAGCACCGGCCAACUACGUGCCAGCAGCCGCGGUAAUACGUAGGGUGCGAGCGUUGUCCGGAUUUAUUGGGCGUAAAGAGCUCGUAG